rnacentral:lncRNA from 1 species
AAAUUGUAAAAUGAUGUAGUGUCCGUUUAGGCUUUACCUAAUUGAGCUCGACUCGACCUGCAUGCAUUAAGCUUAAUCAAUAAAUAAUCAAAUCAAACUUGAAUUACCUUGGAUAAUUUAUUAAAAUGCAAUCAUGAAGGUAAUACAAUUUUUAGUUAAAUUUACAAAAUAUGUGAAUUAAAAUAAUGAUAAGUGCUAUAAAUAAGAUAUUAAUUUAUGCAUUAUUUAGCACUUAUCAC